AAACCUGAGAGUUUGAUCCUGGCUCAGAACGAACGCUGGCGGCAGGCCUAACACAUGCAAGUCGAACGCAUCGCAAGAUGAGUGGCGCACGGGUGAGUAACACGUGGGAAUGUAUCCUUUGGUUCGGAAUAACGUUUGGAAACGAACGCUAAUACCGGAUGAGCCCUACGGGGGAAAGAUUUAUCGCCAAAGGAGCAGCCC
rnacentral:rRNA from 1 species